ACACGUCGCCAAAAUUGGCUAAAUGUAUAAUUUUUACUCUGAACUUUCCUUAAAUUGUCAUUUCCAUCUCUUAACUUUUCAACCUUAAUUCAUUCUUUUUAUAGUAGCUUUUUUACCCUUUGCCAUACUGGAUCAGCGGAGCAUGGAGGAAAUCGCGCGUGAACAGUAAUGUUUUUAUCCUACGUGUAAAAGAUGGCGUCGGCGUCGUAUUGAACCCCAUUUGCUUAAACCAAGGGCAUAUUCACUCUCCAUCCGUCUUAUUGUCUUCUUUUCUCGUAAACAGGCUGAACCAGAGCAUUAAGCAUUGAGUAAACAAAGAAAAUCAGACCAAACCAAACACCAUUGUGUAGUUUAGAUCAAGCCCACCGUUGAUUUUCUUCUUGGUUUUGUUUUGUCUCUCUUUCUCUGCACAUCUUCUUCACCCACCAUUGUGUUUCUCCUUAUCUUGAGAUUCUUUGUUUUGCGGUUAAUGUUUUUUUUUUUUUAAAAUAGAUUUUUCUUUCUUUUAAUUCUAUUUAAAAAAAAAAUGAUCUUCCAUCUGGGUUGUUGUGAUUGCAGAGAUUGAUGAAAGUGAGAAUGAAAUAGUGGCGCAUGGGAAAUGAGAAGGCAUCUUGAUGAAGAGACCUCAAACUCAACUCAGAUAUGAUAUUGGCAACGAAGAGAACACGAAAGAGAAACCAUUUGGAUAACCUUAAGUGAGAUACUGGUGGCUAUAAUAUCAGCAAUGAUUGUUAUUGGGCUUUCUUGAAAAUGUGGAAACCGACGAAGUGUCUCUGAUAAUGACAUUUCAAUUGCUUACGGCACGACACGUCAACCUCAAUCCCGAGUCAGUUCGUUGGUUCUGUGAUGAAGGGUGAACUUGGUGGUUUCUUUUAUUUAUUUUACUACUAUGGUGAUGGUAUGGCUACGGCAGAGACGACCGCAACGGCAAGUUAGACCUGACACGGACAAAAAAUUCCGUCAAUUCAAGAAAUGAAAUUAACAACAAACCACCUUUUAUGCAUCAACUGCAUGUCAAAAUAAAAAGAGAGCACGUAAAACAAAAUGGCCAGUAGCGGGCUAAGAAAGAUGAAAAAUCUCAAUAUCCUCCAAAACUUAAAAAAAAAAAAACAUUUCUCUCUUACUCACGUUUACUGUUUCAGUCAAAAGACAAAAUAUGUUGGUGCUAGCUAUGUUAUUGAGAAGGUAAAAAGAACAUUUCUCUUGCUCACAUUUAUUACUGUUUCAGUCAAAAGACAAUAUGUUGGUGCUAGCAACGUUAUUAAAAAGGGCUUGAAAAA